UUGAUGAUGAAGAUGAGUUGCUGUAUGGGGACACAUCCAUCUUGAACACUUCUGACAAGAAAGUGAAUGAGGAGGAAGCUCAGGAAAAAAAUUGUAUGCCCAAGUCAAAAGAAAUCAAAGUAACUUCAUGGCUUUUGAUAAGUCGAGAAAAUGGACAACUUGAGUUUUAUAGCAUCCCAGAGUUCAAACUGGUAUACACUAUCAAAAGUUUUCCAUUAGGACAAAGAACAUUGGUAGAUAGUGGGCCUCAGUUUGAUACCAGCAA
rnacentral:sRNA from 1 species